GUCCUCACUUUGGCAGCACAUAUUCUAAAAUUAGAAUGACACAGAAAUUAGUAUGGUCCCUGUGCAAGGAUGACACUCAAAUUCAUGAAGCAUUCCAUAUUUUU